ACUAUUAUAUCAGAUUGCUCGUCAGGAGAGACCUGUGCCCUCCUCCACACCCAGCCAAGCCCAGAUCAUUGAGAAAUUUUUCAUGCAAGCAGAGAACACCUGCAGAGCUGCACAAUCCCUCUUGGGAAGGGGAUUUGCCUGGAUUGGAUCUGAGAGUGAAGCCAGACAAGGACUUUGAUGAAAAAUGGCUUUUACCUGGUGAGAUGGUGUUGCCUUUAUGGAAAUAAUUCUUGGUGGACCUCUUUGGAUUUAUUUGGCCACUUCUCAAGGCAUAGAGCCAGCAUUGUGAUCUCCACCUUGGGUCUAGCAUCUAGAAGACUGUGAACAUCUUCCAAAGUAUUUGUGCAGCACACAGGACAGAAGAGCUCUGAUCCACACUUAGCAUUCUCUGGAUAAUGCGUACAAUUACUGUUAAGAAUAUAAAGAGCAAUAAUAACGACAAUGAGAAGAGCAAUGAUGAACUUACAAGCUUGUGGAUUGUUAGCUUUCUGGGCACAAGCUUAUCAUACAUGAAAAUAGGCUCAUUCUAACAGCUGCAGUGCCCAACUCAGUACGAAAAAGAAAUUCUAUGCUGGGAGAAAAAAAACAUAAGAUCUAGUGAUCCUCAUUUUUCAGAGCUGUUACUCCUGGUAUGUGCUUGGAUAUCCCACCAAUUAUUUAUUGUCUCUGAGUAGUACCAUUGAAAAUACGUAAUGUAUUUUUCAUCACGUACCCUUUUAAUGGUAAUUAAAUAUCACAACCCUACCUUGCAACUAAUUGCAAUGGCUUUGUUAUUUUUGGUUUUGCCUGACUAUGAUUUCAAACUAAUGAUCAUUAGUAACAAUAAUACUCCUGUACCCUUUUAUCAUGCCUUACAUCUGUGGGACUCCGUGUUAAGAAUUACUAUGUGCAUUACACCAGUGCUUGCACUGAGUCACAGAGGUUAAUUAACUUAUUAAAGUUAAGGCAUGGCAGUG
ensembl:lncRNA